GUGAGGAAUAUUGCGCAAUGGAGGCAACUCUGACGCAGCCAUGCCGCGUGCAGGAAGAAGGCGCUACGCGUUGUAAACUGCUUUUAACCGGGAAGAAACCCCAGGACGUGUCCUGGGUUGACGGUACCGGAGGAAUAAGCACCGGCUAACUUCGUGCCAGCAGCCGCGGUAAUACGAAGGGUGCAAGCGUUAUCCGGAUUCAUUGGGUUUAAAGGGUGCGUAGGCGGAGCGUUAAGUCAGUGGUGAAUUCCUGCAGCUUAACUGUAGACUUGCCAUUGAUACUGGCGCUCUUGAGUGCGCUUGAAGUGGGCGGAAUGUGCCGUGUAGCGGUGAAAUGCUUAGAUAUGGCACAGAACACCAAUUGCGAAGGCAGCUCACUAAGGCGAUACUGACGCUGAGGCACGAAAGCGUGGGGAUCGAACAGGAUUAGAAACCCGUGUAGUCC
rnacentral:rRNA from 1 species